rfam:Otolemur garnettii contig014316, whole genome shotgun sequence.
GCUGGGCACAGUGGCGCGUGUCUGUAGUCCCAGCUACUCAUGAGGCUGAGACAGGAAGAUCGCUUGAGUCCAGGAGUUCUAGGCUUUAGUGCGCUAUGCUGAUCAGGUGUCCUCACUAAGUUCGGCAUCAAUAUGGUAACCUCCCAGGUGUGGGGCACCACCAGGUUCCCUAAGGAGGGGUGAACUGGCUCAGGUUGAAAAUGGAGCAGGUCAGAGCUCCCAUGCUGAUCAGUAGUGGGAUUGCACCUGUGGCUAGCCACUGCACUCCAGCCUGGGCAACAUAGUAAGACCCCAUCAA